GCAUUGGUGGUUCAGUGGUAGAAUCUUUACCAGCCUCGCGGGGGGCCCGGGUUCGAUUCCCGGCCAAUGCA
rfam:Ciona savignyi cont_23876, whole genome shotgun sequence.